GUCGGUUGUCCUCUUCCACAAUGGGUUGUCCACUUUGGUUGAGAACAUCCUUGUAUACAAAGAACCUGUGACUUCUCUCCAUUGUCCUACUCCUGUGUUGCGCUCCCUUGCUGAGCAGCUAUGGGGGGCGGGCGCCCUCACUUUCUGAAUUAAGAGCUUCCUCACAGAGACAAGAGAGCUCUGCAGGACUGGAGAGAGCAGACCCAGCUGAUGAGGCACAGGAGGGAGUUCAGUAAAUUCCAACCUCUACAUAGGAAUACGAUGGCAUCGAAGAUUCCCUUUGCCACAGAUCUGACAGACUAUGAGAAAAUGCCAGCGAGUCCAUUUGGGAAAGUAAAGCCCAGAAGAGAGGGGAUAGCACAAAAGCGUAUAGAAAUAAGCACCUCACCAUUGGCAGAGCUGGAGGACAAGAUAAGGCGGCACACACAGCAGAUCCGUGCUCGCAGUUUCCUGGGUACCAACCCAACGCAAGACAUUAAGACGGCCAACCAGGACCUGGAAACCACUAAGAAACUUCAGGAGGAGUUAAGGAGACUGAAACUGGAGAUGACCUUGAACAAAGACCAUUCUUUUCCCCCUUUCACUGGAAACCUUUCACUUCACCCACCAGCAUCACGGCCUCAGAAUAUAUUUUUUAACACAAAAUACUAGGAAAGUGGUGUUGUCAGCAGGGAUGACAAGUACCUCCCACAGCGGUGUGGGGACUGGCUGGGACAGCGACUAGUGGGUCUUCAGCUGCUCCACAGGCUGCGGCUUUUAAUAGACUUGACUCCUUUCUGAGGCUAUACAAGGUUUAGCUGCAUUAAAAGGAAGAAUCCUGU
rnacentral:lncRNA from 1 species